CGAGUGNNNNGGGAAGAGCUCAAAUUUAAAAUCUGGCGGUGUAUUCCGUCCGAGUUGUAGUCUAGAGAAGCAUCAUCCGCGCUGGACCAUGUACAAGUCUCUUGGAAUAGAGCGUCAUAGAGGGUGAGAAUCCCGUCCUUGACAUGGACUCCCAGUGCUUUGUGUUGUGCUCUCAACGAGUCGAGUUGUUUGGGAAUGCAGCUCAAAAUGGGUGGUAAAUUCCAUCUAAAGCUAAAUAUUGGCGAGAGACCGAUAGCGAACAAGUACCGUGAGGGAAAGAUGAAAAGCACUUUGGAGAGAGAGUUAAACAGUACGUGAAAUUGUUGAAAUGGAAACGCUUGAAGUCAGUCGCGUUCUCUGGGAUUCAGCCUUGCUUCUGCUUGGUGCAUUUCCUAGUCUACGGGCCAGCAUGAAUUUUGACCGUUGGAAAAAGGCAGGGGGAAUGUGGCACCUCCGGGUGUGUUAUAGCCCCUUGUCACACACGGCGGUUGGGAUUGAGGAUUCAGUGCACGCUUCUGUUGUGCUUUGAUGCUGGCGUAAUGGCUUUAAACGACCCGUC
rnacentral:rRNA from 1 species